CGAGAAGUCGAGUAUCCGUCCUGGAAAAGAGCUUUCUUGGAAUUUAAUGCGGCAUUCUUAAGGGAUUUAGAAAUAACAAAAAGCAUCGUUUGGAGAAUAGGGAGCUUCAGAGGAAGACAGUUUAACAGCUAUGGCAGAAAGUAAUCUCCUAACAACGGGGGAAGAACUGGACUUGAACAAUGAGCCUCCAGUCACAGCGACAGAGAAAAGCCAAUUUACGUCAAGUGAUUCAAAACUGGAGAUAUACGAUGACCCUUCAAGAG